AUUCUUUUGUGGUUCAUAAGCAUGAUUGGCUGGGUGUUCAUGCAUAUGUGUGAGAUGUGCCUCCCUCAAAUCUUGUUACGACAUUGGCACCAUACCCGUCUGACG